AGCCACGUAGUGUGCACAGAGCGAACUAUUCUUUCGCCUUUUACUAAAGAAUACUGUGUGCACUCUACAAAUAGUGGCAUACGCUAAUUUUUGAGUGGUCUUCCCUUUCAAGGGUGAC